GGCAUUUAGGAUCUGGAUAUGAAGGAAGACAUGGGCCUUAGAUUUCUGCCAGCUUGUCUCCUUAACCUAGCGUAGACACAGCCACUGCGAGAGUGCUCCCAUUGUGUUGGGGACUGGUCAGCUCCUGCUCACCUGGCCCAGCCACCUGUCAGCAGCUAUUACUAAUCCACCCUCCCCGAGACAUCUCUAUGCCCACUGUCCCCCACCUUCUCUCCCUUCCUCUCCUCUUUUUUCUUCUCCCGUCUCUGUCUCCUGUUCUCUCUCCCUACUCCCUCUCUGCCUCUUUGGCACAGCUGGCUGAGCAGCAUACUGCCACUUCCUCCUCUGGUUUGCCUCACAUGGGAGCCAGGGCUGCCUCCUCAUCUUCAAGAUUCUCACACACUCUGCUGACCUACGCCUGCCUGGCCCCUUUCUAGAGGACGAGACCCAGUUUCCGGGAGCCCUUGGUCACCGCCAACAUUGCAGUAUGGACAGAGCCCACUGUAACAGGUGCUUCCGUCGUAUCCAGGCAACGCCAUCCUCAGCUUUUACACUGGGAAUGAGCAUGUCUGUGUCUCCUCUUCUGCUAAUGAGGUGUUAGUAGAGGGUCCGACCAGUCCCCAGCACAGUGGCCCACUCUUAGAAUGGCUGUGUCUGCUGGGUUAAGGAGAUGAGUUGGCAGAAGGUCCUCCGGGGGCUUCUGGGAAAGGUUACGUCAUUCCAAAGAAAAGGUGCUGGUGCUAUUUUGGACAUCAUCCUGUUGGGAUGCGGCAGCUAGAACUGCUCCAGGCAUCUUGCAGGCUGGCUACAGCUGAAGCCACCCCUGAGCCUGGCAGAGUGAAGAGCUAGGAAGAACCUGCGUCCUCGGUGCCACUGCUUGCUGUUCCCACCAGCCCUGAGCCACCUUGCUCACACCUGUGAGCGCUACCCGUCCCAGUCCUGCAAGGCUGUGGCCCUGGGUGUCCGCUGUUUGCGGACAAAGUCUGCUUGCUGUCUUCCCCAUCCCUGCCAGGCCCAUCCCGUCCCGCUAGUUCCAGACAUCAGCCUUUGUCCAGAGUGGCUUUGAGUUUGGGAGCUCCUGGGGUUGGAUUGCAUCCCUUGCGGUUGGUUUCCCAAGGCUCUGGCCUGCUCCUUCCUUCCUGUCAGAAGCUCCCAGCGUGUCGUCUGCCACUGUCUCAGCUCAGGCUGCCACCACAGCACCACUGAUGGGUGGCUUCAACAGCGGUCCAUCUUCUCUCGGUUCUGGAGGCUGGAGUCCGAGAUCAAGGUGUCACAGGGCUGCUCCCUCCUGAGGCCUCUCUCCUUGCCUUGCAGACAGCUACCUUCCCCCCGUGUCCUUACGUCUUUCCACUGUGUGUGUCCUCAUCUCUUAUAAGGACCCCAGUCAGAUUGCAUUUGGGCCCACCCUUACAGCCUCAUCUGAACUUAGUUACCUGUUAAAGACCUCACUCUCCAGUCACAUUCUGAGGCACUGGGGGCUAAGGCUUCCACACAAGUUUUGUGGGGACACGGUUCAGCCCCUCACAGGACCCUGGCUGUGGCUGCUGGAUAGACUGCUGAAUUGGGACUCGGGAGAAGAGAAAGCCAUUUCAUGUAAAAGUUGAAGUUAUUUCAAUUAGUUUUUUCUAGAAUGUUAACAUCUAGGCACAAGCAAGAGUAGUCAGUCCUCCACUGAACUCUCCACUUUGGAAUCACCUCUCAGAGUCACUGGAUGGCCAAAGGGAACUGCCCAAGGGCCACACUGCUGUCCUAAAACACGACCACAUUUCACUUUAUUUUACAUUCACCCCUUGACAU
rnacentral:lncRNA from 10 species